rnacentral:rRNA from 1 species
UGGUCAAGUUAUUAAGGGUGCAGGGCGGAUGCCUUGGCACUAGGAGCCGAUGAAGGACGUGAUAAGCUGCGAUAAGCUUCGGGGAGUUGCACGUAAACUUUGAUCCGAAGAUUUCCGAAUGAGGAAACUCACUUAGAGUAAUGUCUAAGUAUCAUUAAGUGAAUACAUAGCUUAAUGAGGGGAACUCAGGGAACUGAAACAUCUAAGUACCUGAAGGAAGAGAAAGAAAUUCGAUUCCGUAAGUAGCGGCGAGCGAACGCGGAUUAGCCCAAACCAAUAAAGUUUUCUUUAUUGGGGUUGCGGACAUAUCAUAACGAAGAGGUAUCGUAAUUGAAGAGGUUUGGAAAGACUCACCACAGAAGGUAAUAGUCCUGUAUGUUAAACGAGAAGACUUCAGAUAUGAUCCAGAGUACCACGGGACACGUGAAACCCUGUGGGAAGCAGGAGGGACCACCCUCCAAGGCUAAAUACUACCUAGUGACCGAUAGCGUAUAGUACCGUGAGGGAAAGGUGAAAAGAACCCCGGGAGGGGAGUGAAAUAGAACCUGAAACCCUGCACUUACAAGCUGUGGAAGCACAUUUCUUGUGUGACCGCGUACUUUUUGUAGAACGGGCCAACGAGUUACGUUAAGUAGCAAGGUUAAGCACUUAAGGUGCGGAGCCGUAGCGAAAGCGAGUUUUAACUGAGCGUUCAGUUACUUGACGUAGACCCGAAACCGGGCGACCUACCCAUGAGCAGGAUGAAGCGAAAGUAAAAUUUCGUGGAGGUCCGAACCCACGAGCGUUGAAAAGCUCGGGGAUGACUUGUGGGUAGCGGUGAAAUUCCAAUCGAGCCCGGAGAUAGCUGGUUCUCCCCGAAAUAGCUUUAGGGCUA